UUUCCGUAGGUGAACCAGCGGAGGGAUCAUUAAAGAGUCAAGGAAUUCGGCCCCGAUCUCCGACCAUAUGUUUAACUACCAUGUUGCGUUGGCGGGCCCGUCCCUCGACCGCCGGAAGAAUGAGGUCGACCCCACGGCUAGCACAUUCCCGUCUGUGGCCCCUUCAAUUUCUUGAUCAAGUAUGAUGUCUUAGUUAAAAACUUAAUAAUUAAAACUUUCAACAACGCAUCGCUUGGUUCUGGCAUAGAUGGGGAACGCAGCAGAUCGGAAUAGCACACC
rnacentral:misc_RNA from 1 species